GCCAGAAGAAAUCCCAGCUGCAGAGGUUGUUGAUGGCAUUUGGGCAGCCCCACAAAGCUGCAAACAGUUGGUAUGUGACUUAAACUCAGUGACUCCUGUGAAGUGUAACCCCAGCAAGCUCCACAGUGAUUUGUAGAGAUCAAAGCAACUUCCUCUUCUGUCAUAAUGAAACACUUGAAUUCUUGGAUAAUCUGAACAUGAAACUAAGUGUCACCAGAAAGCAGUAGGAGAAAAGUGUUAAAAGUUGCCAAAGAGAAAAAGGAGAAAUUACAGUGAAAGAUUCACUCACAGCACACGUGUAAGAACUAUCUUCACCCAGAUAUUUCCCCUAAACCACAGCAAAGGUCUCCAUUUCUUACAGUGUUCCACUGUCCCUGCUGAGAAAUCCUGGACCCAGCAGGUCCCGUUAGGAGCCAAUAGCUGGGGGAUUCCUGCAUCUCAGAACAGUCUCUAUGGAGACUCAAAGUGGGGUGACAUCCUACAAACCAACAGUGAUAGAAAACCGCAUUGGCACCAUCAGAGGAUCAGAGGGUGCUGUGCUCAGCCGUGUGCCACAAGGGAUGAUUUAGUUUAUCUGGGUGUAAAUCAGAUGUGACUCAUCAGCAGACACUGCACAGUCAAACGUGCAGAAAACACAUCGGCACUGAAUGAGAGCCUGAAACACAGCUCGUUAUUUAAAGAGAAUUAUGAGAAUGCCAUGAGUUUCAAGAAGAUCAACCCCACUGAGGAAGUGAAAGCCAAGAGUUAUAGAUGUAGCGAUAGGAGGCCCUGAGGAUUUAUUAACUCUUUUGUUUAGACUUACUAAAAAGGAAUGACACCCAUUAUAGUGUAUCACGGGAGUGAGCUAUCUAACAGCCCUGUGGCUGUGACUGCAGUGGAGCUCUGUGAUAAGGUGAGGAGACUGUGACUUUCCUGUGAUGAAACAUUCAGUAAAAGAGAAGUUUUUGCUUUGUAAAUUAUUUAGUCGAUUCAAGAGUUUUCUCAAACAAAUAUUGUCCUACAAAUAAGUACCUUUAAGGGCAAACUACCCCAUUCUCAAGAGACUUGUAUACUUGUGCAUGUCUGAAAUGUUUCUGUUUUUUUCUUGUCAACUCUAAGCAAUCCAUAGCCAUGUUGUUUCAGGAAGAUACCCUCUGGCUCCAUGGGCUCACCACCUCCUGAACUGCAGUGGCAUUUGCUGUUCUGAACACGGUGAUACUCAAAGCUUGGCACUGGUUUGGAGAACACAAGUAAGGGAUGCUACUUCGGCAGUUCCUCCUGCAGAUGGAGUUCCAACAUCCCCCUGAGUUAUUCAGCCAUGUCCCUCUUACUAAUUGCUUCUGGAAUCCAGUUUGGCUUUCUCUUCAGUUUAAAUAUGGCAAUAUGUUGAACCAGGAUAGUUGAAAUGCAACUGGGAUUGGCUGUCUUUUUUUUUUUUGGAAAACAGUUUUCAGCUGUCCCUCUGAUACAACAACAGGAGAGUAUCAGAUUAGAAGUCCUGUCUCACACCAUGAUUUCUAGCACUGUUCCACGAGGAUGCUCAGUCCUUUUUGAGUACAUCUUUUAUUUUCAUUUGGGUGAGCUUUGUUGCAGCUUAAUAUUAUUGAAAGUUAAAGGACAGAUUGGAGACUGAUUAUAAGGGUAUGGUGUACCAUGGGAAAAGCCUAGUAAUACAAACACUUUGCCUGAGACUCAAUGACUCUGUGUUCUGCAAAAGCUACUGCUGACAUCUCUCGCGUUUUUAUUGAUCUUAUAGAUUCAGUACCGGGAUACUUAGAGUUUAGCUUUGCUUUGGGGACUUGCUUAUUUUACCUGAAUUUUCUCAAAAUGCAAGAGAUUAAAGUGAUCUGAUAGAUUUUUGAAUGUUGGCCUAGAGAAAAAUAUAUAAAAAGUUUCUCAUUCAAGGUAAGCCAGCUGUCUCCAAUUACCUCUCACUUCUGCCACCAGAUUUCUGACAUCCAGAAGCUCCUGUUGCAAACUCAGGCUGGGGGUGGCAGAGCAUUCCCCUUCCCUGCAGGGACAUUUCCUGCCUUCCUAACAGGAACUGUGUGCAAGUGUGGUACUUCCAAGGACAUAAAUGAGUGCUUUAGUUGUUAUUUUACUUAAUAUGAAAAGGUUAAAAGAACCAUGAAAACAUAUAGCGAUGUGGAAAUUAAUGAUGGUAUCUCUUGUAAGCUAGAGAUGUGUAUGUACCCAUCCACCUGUAAUGUUUUAAAAUAUACAUGGCAAAGUGCAUAGUGAUAACGUAUUUGAUUUUAUCUGCUAUAAACAUAUAUACAUGUCAGACAAAUAGCUUCUCUUCCUUCCUACUCCCUGUAUUGAUAAAAUCCAGAGAGGAUUUGAUCUGAGUGUGCUUCUCCACAUUAUUCAACUCAACGAUGCUCUCAAAAAGUUCAAAUAUUUAAAUUGGUUCAAAGUCAGAAUAUUAAUAGCAGUUCUUAGAAAUUCAGUAAUAGUAACAUUUUCCCAGCUGAAGGAUACCAUCACAAAUGGCUACAUCAUGAGCGUAUGUAGUUGAUUACUUUGCAACAAUUAGGAACACAGAUGAAGUAUAGGGAAACUUCCACUUGUCUAGGUGAGGAGAAACAGUGAAGCACCCUCAGCCCCUGACAGCUAAAAAAGCCUGCUGAUAUUACUAACAAAUAAAUCUUAAGGCAGCUCAACACUGCAGUAUGGUGUGUAAUCCAGUAAGUGAGGGCUUGGAUUUUAGGUUGUCCCCUCCCACCGAACCAGAAACCCGCAGGACAGCACUGCAAGGUCGUGGCACCACCAGGGGACAUUUAGCUGGCACCAGCUACAGGCUCCCAUCACAGUGGCAUGGGGCAGGAUGUGCCACCAGCCAAACCUUUGGCCCCCGCCAUCCCUGUGCACCACCACAUGUGUGCAUGUGCAACCCUUGUACAUCAGGACUGAGAGAGCAGUGCAUAAAAAUAAGCUUUAAAGGCAACUGAUGUCUGAGCACCUACAACUGAAUAAGGAAAGACACACUGCUGCUCAGUGCAGCAGUCCCUUCCAGCUCAGUUCACCAGUUUUGGUGUAGAUGCACAUUGUUUAUUUUAAAAACACCAGCUGUGGUGAAAGAGGGCUGCCAAGGGGAAAUGCAGCUUUUUCCAAAGGUACAGUUUUUCAAUUAAAAAUACAGAGAGAAAGCAGGCAAAACUUACAUGGAAAAUUCAGCAGGCAAGGAAACAAGCCGUGCACAAUGCUACACUGCAGCUCCGCACCUCCUAGAGCAAAAGGGAGAGCACAUGCUUCACUUCAAGCUCUCUUUAAAACACAUCCCUAAUUAUGAAAUCAUUACCAGCAAUCUGCAUGAUAAGGAAAGAAUUAUUAUAUUAACCUGGGAUCUUCAGGGCACUCUGAGAGACUGUGGAGCAGCCCUGCUGCAGCCAGGCAGCAUGCUCCCUCCCCGCUGCCAUUCUGUGAGUCACUUCUGCCUUUAAUCUCCCAUUAAAAUCCUUUCUAGCCUCUUCAGUUUAUGGCUCUGUUGCUGCAAGGUGGUUUGUGGCACACUGUAUUGCUAAUCCUUGGGAUUGCAGCGUAUUGAGAACAGAAUAAUUGAAAACAGCUUGAAGCAGUAGUAGUUAGGCACACAAAUCAAUGACAGAUAAUCAUUUAAGCACAAACCAAAACAGACAUUUACAUGGAAAACAAUCACAGCCUUGGAGGUACACCCUACUCUUGCCAUGCGGAAUCUUUCAGGAUUUGGCAGAGCACCCUCUGAUGCCAAAACCCACUGCCAGCACAUGGCUGUUCCCACAAGACAGCACUGGCACAGCCCUGCCAGAACCUGAGCCCAGCUGUCAGUGGGACAGUGCAGGCCAUGAAGGCUGCAUGCUUCUGGCAGAGCCCAACCACACUGCCAGCUGUGCCCCAGAGUGUUGGUGGUGCUUGACGGGUCCCCCAGUGUCCCUCAGCUUGGAGGCAAUGCAGGACUGCAUCCUGCCGCAAGACCUGAAGGGCCAUUGCCCUUCCACAGUAGUGGUGAGAUGGUGGGCUCUGCUGGGUGCCCUACACAGGGCACAGGGUCCUGCUGGGUGCCCUAUGCUGGCCAUGGGGCCCCGCUGGGGUCCCUGUGCUGGGCACAGGUGGCAGAGGACAUGGAGGGACUGCUGCUGACUUGCUUGUGCAGAUGGGAGCACAUAUUUGCCUGUUGUGUUCUGAUGACAAUCGUAUUUAUACCAGCUGGUUGAAAUGUUUUAAUAAAUGAU